CCUACGGGAGGCAGCAGUGAGGAAUAUUGGUCAAUGGACGAGAGUCUGAACCAGCCAAGUAGCGUGAAGGAUGACUGCCCUAUGGGUUGUAAACUUCUUUUAUCUGGGAAUACAACGUUACACGUGUGGGAUUUUGUAUGUACCAUAUGAAUAAGGAUCGGCUAACUCCGUGCCAUCAGCCGCGGUAAUACGGAGGAUCCGAGCGUUAUCCGGAUUUAUUGGGGUUAAAGGGAGCGUAGGUGGAUUGUUAAGUCAGUUGUGAAAGGUUGGGGCUCAACCGUAAAAUUGCAGUUGAAACUGGCAGUCUUGAGUACAGUAGAGGUGGGCGGAAUGCGUGGUGUAGCGGUGAAAUGCUUAGAUAUCACGAAGAACUCCGAUUGCGAAGGCAGUUCACUGGACUGCAACUGACACUGAGGCUCGAAGGUGUGGGUAUCAAACAGGAUUAGAUACCCCAGUAGUC
rnacentral:rRNA from 1 species